rnacentral:rRNA from 1 species
GAUGAACGCUGGCGGCGUGCCUAAUACAUGCAAGUCGAGCGAACAGACGAGGAGCUUGCUCCUCUGACGUUAGCGGCGGACGGGUGAGUAACACGUGGAUAACCUACCUAUAAGACUGGGAUAACUUCGGGAAACUGGAGCUAAUACCGGAUAACAUGUUGAACCGCAUGGUUCAACAGUGAAAGACGGUCUUGCUGUCACUUAUAGAUGGAUCCGCGCCGCAUUAGCUAGUUGGUAAGGUAACGGCUUACCAAGGCAACGAUGCGUAGCCGACCUGAGAGGGUGAUCGGCCACACUGGAACUGAGACACGGUCCAGACUCCUACGGGAGGCAGCAGUAGGGAAUCUUCCGCAAUGGGCGAAAGCCUGAUGGAGCAACGCCGCGUGAGUGAAGAAGGUCUUCGGAUCGUAAAACUCUGUUAUUAGGGAAGAACAAAUGUGUAAGUAACUAUGCACGUCUUGACGGUACCUAAUCAGAAAGCCACGGCUAACUACGUG